rnacentral:lncRNA from 1 species
UGGUUUCCAAUUCAACAUCAACUUGUUGUUGAACAAUUGCAACAUCAUUUUGAUACGCCACAUCUAAGACAUUGUCAAUUUCAAUUCUUCCCACAUGCUUACUUUUUAUAACAACCCACCAAUCAGCUUUGUCUCUACGCAAUGGAUAUGAAGCGUAAUACACUUGUUUAGCAUUUUGUGCAAUAAUAAAAGGAUCAUAACUUCUGU